AGUGAACGCUGGCGGUAGGCCUAACACAUGCAAGUCGAACGGCAGCACAGUAAGAGCUUGCUCUUACGGGUGGCGAGUGGCGGACGGGUGAGGAAUACAUCGGAAUCUACUUUUUCGUGGGGGAUAACGUAGGGAAACUUACGCUAAUACCGCAUACGACCUACGGGUGAAAGCAGGGGAUCUUCGGACCUUGCGCGAUUGAAUGAGCCGAUGUCGGAUUAGCUAGUUGGCGGGGUAAAGGCCCACCAAGGCGACGAUCCGUAGCUGGUCUGAGAGGAUGAUCAGCCACACUGGAACUGAGACACGGUCCAGACUCCUACGGGAGGCAGCAGUGGGGAAUAUUGGACAAUGGGCGCAAGCCUGAUCCAGCCAUGCCGCGAGGGUGAAGAAGGCCUUCGGGUUGUAAAGCCCUUUUGUUGGGAAAGAAAAGCAGCAGGUUAAUACCCCGCUGUUCUGACGGUACCCAAAGAAUAAGCACCGGCUAACUUCGUG
rnacentral:rRNA from 1 species